rnacentral:lncRNA from 1 species
CUUUGUAGCUUUGUAUUUGGCUGUCUACCUCCCAGCUUCUCAGCCUUGUCUCCAGGUCCAGGGGGCCGAUGCUCCAACAAUAAUGAAGCUCUAAUUCCUGGUUCCCUGAGCCUGCUCGGGUUUUUGUUUCUUUCGCUUUUUGUUUUUGUUUGUUUGGGGGAAGGUGAGCUUGGAGAUUUCUCCUACCAUUAGUUGAGGACAGAAAUGGAAUAAAAAGUAUAUGUUGGGGAGACAUGACCAGUCUGGUGAAGUGUUGAUAUAAGCAUACUUGCCAGGCACUGUUUCUUGUAUUGGAGAUGGAAAGGAAGAAAAACUAGUCUCCUG